rnacentral:rRNA from 1 species
CCCUUAGAUGUCCUGGGCCGCACGCGUGCUACACUGACACUUACACCGAGUUUUUCCGGCCCCGAGAGGUGGCUGGUAAUCAGUAAUAGGUGUCGUGAUGGGGAUAGAUCUUUGGAAUUAUUGAUCUUGAACGAGGAAUGCCUAGUAAUCGUAGGUCAUCAGCCUGCGAUGAUUACGUCCCUGUCCUUUGUACACACCGCCCGUCGCUCCUACCGAUUUCGAGUGGUCCGGUGAACCUUUCGGACAGAGAGAGUCUCGUACAAUCUCUGAAAGUCAAGUAAACCACAUCACUUAGAGGAAGGAGAAGUCGUAACA